rnacentral:rRNA from 1 species
AUUGAACGCUGGCGGCAGGCCUAACACAUGCAAGUCGAGCGAGCGGCGGACGGGUGAGUAAUGUCUGGGAAACUGCCUGAUGGAGGGGGAUAACUACUGGAAACGGUAGCUAAUCCCGCAUACUAUCGGAUGACCCCAUAUGGUAUUAGCUAGUAGGUGGGGUAACGGCUCACCUAGGCGACGAUCCCUAGCUGGUCUGAGAGGAUGAACAGCUACACGGGAACUGAGCCACGGUCCAUACUCCUACGGGAGGCAGAAGUGGGGAAUAUUGCAAAAUGGGCGCAAGCCUGAUGCAGCCAUGCGUCGGGUGUGAAGAAGGCCUUAGGGUUGUAAAGUACUUUCAGUCGGGAGGCGUGACCCGCAGAAGAAGCACCGGCUAACUCCGUGCCAGCAGCCGCGGUAAGAG